rnacentral:rRNA from 1 species
GACGAACGCUGGCGGCGUGCUUAACACAUGCGAGUCGAACGGAAAGGCCCUGCUUUUGUGGGGUGCUCGAGUGGCGAACGGGUGAGUAACACGUGAGUAACCUGCCCUUGACUUUGGGAUAACUUCAGGAAACUGGGGCUAAUACCGGAUAGGAGCUCCUGCUGCAUGGGGGGGGUUGGAAAGUUUCGGCGGUUGGGGAUGGACUCGCGGCUUAUCAGCGUGUUGGUGGGGUAGUGGCUUACCAAGGCUUUGACGGGUAGCCGGCCUGAGAGGGUGACCGGCCACAUUGGGACUGAGAUACGGCCCAGACUCCUACGGGAGGCAGCAGUGGGGAAUAUUGCACAAUGGGCGGAAGCCUGAUGCAGCAACGCCGCGUGCGGGAUGACGGCCUUCGGGUUGUAAACCUCUUUCGCCUGUGACGAAGCGUGAGUGACGGUAAUGGGUAAAGAAGCACCGGCUAACUACGUG